UGUUCAUUUCCGGGUCAGAUGUUUCUAACGUGGCUGCCCAUGUUUUCCAGCGUGUGUCAAAGUUGUGUGAAUCUUUAUUAUAACGUGAGAAGUCGUAAUCUUCAACGUGUUCUUCCGGCUAACUUUCACGCUCUUAUUUCCCCCCCACACGUGUUAGCUGUUUGACUCGCUAGCACGUAGCGAAAGCACGUGUUUGCCAGGCUCCCCCCUACUCGUGUAGGAGCUACCUGAGCGUGGCUUUUCCCUUUCGAACAAAAUGGGUGAGUUUAAGGUGCACCGGGUUCGUUUCUUCGACUAUAUGCCCAGCGCUAUCAAAGCCAUGGCGUUCAAUAGCCGCACUGAGAGGCUUGCAGUGGCCCGGGCUGACGGGACUGUGGAGGUCUUUAACUUCACUGACCACUACUUCCAAGAGAAGGUGAUUCCUGGUCAGGAUAACGCCGGCAUUGAGGCUCUGUGCUGGGUGGGUCAGCGUCUCUUCAGUGCUGGCUUGCGUGGGGAGAUCACAGAAUAUGACCUCGAGAACUUGCAGCCCAUGUACACUGUGGAUGCCUAUGGGGGACCAAUCUGGGCCAUCAGCUGCAACAGCAAGGGAACCCUGCUGGCUGUUGGCUGUGAAGAUGGGACAGUGAAGAUAUUUGAAAUACUCGAGGGCAAGAUUCACUUUCAGACAAACUUCAAUAGGCAGAAAAGUCGAGUCAUCAGUCUUUGCUGGCAUCCCUCUGGCACGCAGUUGGCCGCAGGCAUGAUGGACAUGAUCCGAAUAUUUGAUGUUGAGACUGGUCAGAGCUUGCACAGAAUGCUUGUUGAUAGGGCUGCGCAAGCAUCCAAAACCAAGGAGGUGGUGGUUUGGAGCAUAGUCUUCUUAUCUAAUCACACUGUCAUCAGUGGUGAUUCUGCUGGAAAGGUCCAGAUAUGGGACGGAAUUACAGGAACACUCGUCCGCACUCACCUACUCGCCAAGUGUGACGUGCUUUCGCUUUCUGUAUCCAAGGAUGAAAACAGCCUUGUAGCAGGAACGUCAGAAGGCACUGUUGCCCAAUUUGAAUUUAUUUCCCGCUCCUUCAACCACGAAGAUAAGGACUGGGUCCGAACCAGAACCUUUAAACACCAUUCACAUGACGUGGCGGCACUGGUUCACACCGAGACUGCUGUUGUAUCUGGAGGUAUGGAUACACAGCUGAUAAUUCAUCCCUUGCUGCACAAUGUGGAGAAGAAUACACAAGAGUCGGCUCAGCGUAAAAUAAUUUUUCCUCAUAGGAGUUUGGUGUCUUGUGCCAAGAAGUCUGGACUGCUGCUCUUCCAGUUCCCUGAUCAUCUUGAGCUGUGGAGACUAGGGGAGAGUGAGGGGCAUGGAAAGCCUGGUGAUAGUCUACCUUUGAAGAGGAAACCAGAGAAACUGCUUCAUCUGAAGAGGAAGGGCGAAGAUAAUAUUUGGUGCAGUGCUCUGUCUCCAUGCGGAGAGUGGCUGGCAUACUCGACUCUCUCCAGCGUGCGUCUGUACAGGCUACAGGUCCUCAACAACAUCAGCAUUACAAAGGUUUCUAAAAUACCCAAGAUCCUUCACUCAGCCCAGCAGCUCUGCUUUUCCUCGGAUUCCUCCAAACUCUUUGCAUCCUGCAGCUUGUCAUCAGUUGUUGUGGUCUCCCUCAGCCAGUCAGAGUGCAAAUACAUCCAUACCCUUAAACCUCAGCCAGGUUCCACACAGGCAGUCCACCUGUUGAAUGCGAGUGACGAUGGCAAAUGGCUGGUUACAGCCAAUACAGGCUGUGAGAUCCACGUUUACAACCUUCAAAAGCUCAAGCUUCACUGCACGCUGCCGGUGUACAGUUCCUGUCCUACCGCCUUGGCCGUCCACCCAACCACUGGAAACCUCGUCACGGUGCAUGCUGACCAGCAGAUAUUUGAGUUCUCUCUAGUACAAAAGGAAUACACCGAUUGGAGUCGCGAGCUGCAGAAUCAUGGGCUGCACCCUCUGUGGCUGCAGAGGGACACGCCCAUCACCCACGUCGCCUUCAACCCCAAGAACUCGGCUCAUAUUCUUCUGCGCGAUGCGUUUAUGUUCUGCAUCAUUGACAAGAGCCUGCCCCUUCCUAAAGCAAAGUGGCAACUCUCCAAUCAGAUGGCACUAAGGAGUCUUCCCGCAUUAGAGAGGACGAAAUACAGCCAUUCGUUCAAGAUUUGCAAAACCUUUCAGCCUCUUUUGAGUUUGUCUCUGCUGGACGACCAGUCCUUAGUUGUGGUUGAGCGCCCCCUGUCGGACAUCCAGUCUCAGCUGCCUGCACCUGUACGACGGAAAACGUUUGCCACCUAAACAAAAGCACGCAAAUACAGCUUUUCACCGACUUGUCAGCAUAGAUGUCAGAAGGUUGUUGCUGGAGCACAUCCAAAAAACAGCAGGCCUUGCACUAACUGACCUGACCUGUGGUUCGGCGAUCCUGUUUACAAUGCGCUCAGUAUUUAAUGUUGGAACAUUUCCCACGGCACAGCUGAACACGGCACACUGGUUGGGAAACACUGAAUCAGAUGACCUUUCAAUAACAUGGUGAAUAGCUCAUA